rnacentral:rRNA from 1 species
GACGAACGCUGGCGGCGUGCUUAACACAUGCAAGUCGAACGGUAAGGCCCUUCGGGGUACACGAGUGGCGAACGGGUGAGUAACACGUGGGUGAUCUGCCCUGCACUUCGGGAUAAGCCUGGGAAACUGGGUCUAAUACCGGAUAGGACCACUGCCUGCAUGGGUGGUGGUGGAAAGCUUUUGCGGUGUGGGAUGGGCCCGCGGCCUAUCAGCUUGUUGGUGGGGUGAUGGCCUACCAAGGCGACGACGGGUAGCCGGCCUGGGAGGGUGACCGGCCACACUGGGACUGAGAUACGGCCCAGGCUCCUACGGGAGGGAGCAGUGGGGAAUAUUGCACAAUGGGCGCAAGCCUGAUGCAGCGACGCCGCGUGAGGGAUGACGGCCUUCGGGUUGUAAACCUCUUUCAGCACCGACGAAGCGCAAGUGACGGUAGGUGCAGAAGAAGGACCGGCCAACUACGUGCCAGCCGCCGCCGUAA